rnacentral:rRNA from 1 species
UACGAAGGGGGCUAGCGUUGUCCGGAAUCACUGGGCGUAAAGGGCGCGUAGGCGGCCUGAUAAGUCGGGGGUGAAAUCCUGUGGCUCAACCACAGGGCUGCCUCCGAGACUGUCGGGCUCGGAGCACAGUAGAGGCAGGUGGAAUUCCCGGUGUAGCGGUGGAAUGCGUAGAGAUCGGGAAGAACAUCGGUGGCGAAGGCGGCCUGCUGGGCUGUUGCUGACGCUGAGGCGCGACAGCGUGGGGAGCAAACAGG